UACAGAGGGUGCGAGCGUUGUUCGGAAUUAUUGGGCGUAAAGGGCGCGUAGGCGGUGCGGUAAGUCACCUGUGAAAUCUCCUGGCUCAACUGGGAGCUUGCAGGCGAAACUGCCGUGCUGGAGUGCGGGAGAGGUGCGUGGAAUUCCUGGUGUAGCGGUGAAAUGCGUAGAUAUCAGGAGGAACACCUGUGGCGAAAGCGGCGCACUGGACCACAACUGACGCUGAGGCGCGAAAGCUAGGGGAGCAAACAGG
rnacentral:rRNA from 1 species